UUUCCUCUCUAAUACAACU
rnacentral:snRNA from 1 species